GUGUCAGCAGCCGCGGUAAUACGUAGGGUGCGAGCGUUAAUCGGAAUUACUGGGCGUAAAGCGUGCGCAGGCGGUUUCGUAAGCUGGAGGUGAAAUCCCCGGGCUUAACCUGGGAAUGGCCUUCAGGACUGCGAGGCUAGAGUGCGGCAGAGGGAGGUGGAAUUCCACGUGUAGCAGUGAAAUGCGUAGAUAUGUGGAGGAACACCGAUGGCGAAGGCAGCCUCCUGGGCCAGCACUGACGCUCAUGCACGAAAGCGUGGGGAGCAAACAGGAUUAGAAACCCCCGUAGUCC
rnacentral:rRNA from 1 species